rnacentral:rRNA from 1 species
GGCGCGAAAACUUUACAAUGCAGGAAACUGUGAUAAGGGAACACCGAGUGCUCGCAUCAAAUGCGGGCUGUCCAACAUACCUAAAUCGUAUGUGUUAGCAAGGGCCGGGCAAGACCGGUGCCAGCCGCCGCGGUAAUACCGGUGGCCCGAGUGGUAGCCGCUUUUAUUGGGUCUAAAGGGUCCGUAGCCUGUCUGAUCAGUCCAUUGGGAAAUCCGGAUGCUCAACAUCCGGGCUUCCAGUGGAUACUGUCAGACUUGGGAUCGGGGGAGGUAAGAGGUACUACAGGGGUAGGAGUGAAAUCUUGUAAUCCUUGUGGGACCACCUGUGGCGAAGGCGUCUUACCAAAACGAGUCCGACGGUGAGGGACGAAAGCUGGGGGCACGAACCGGAUUAGAUACCCGGGUAGUCCCAGCCGUAAACGAUGCUCGCUAGGUGUCAGGCAUGGCGUGACUGUGUCUGGUGCCGAAGGGAAGCCGUGAAGCGAGCCACCUGGGAAGUACGGCCGCAAGGCUGAAACUUAAAGGAAUUGGCGGGGGAG